AUGCUCAUUUUGGCAGCAUGUAUGUUAAAAUUGGAAUGAUACAGAGAAUAUCAGCAGCAGGGCCACUGUGCAAGGAUGACAUGCAAAUUCUGAAACUUUCCAUAUUGUU
rnacentral:snRNA from 1 species